rnacentral:rRNA from 1 species
UAUACAGCGAAACUGCGAAUGGCUCAUUAUAUAAGUUAUCGUUUAUUUGAUAGUGCCUUACUACUUGGAUAACCGUGGUAAUUCUAGAGCUAAUACAUGCUAAAAACCCCGACUUCGGAAGGGGUGUAUUUAUUAGAUACAAAACCAAUGCCCUUCGGGGCUCUUUGGUGAUUCAUGAUAACUAUACGAAUCGCACGGCCUUGCGCCGGCGAUGGUUCAUUCAAAUUUCUUCCCUAUCAACUUUCGAUGUUUGGGUAUUGGCCAAACAUGGUUGCAACGGGUAACGGAGGGUUAGGGCUCGACCCCGGAGAAGGAGCCUGAGAAACGGCUACUACAUCCAAGGAAGGCAGCAGGCGCGCAAAUUACCCAAUCCCGACUCGGGGAGGUAGUGACAAUAAAUACUGAUACAGGGCCCUUUCGGGCCUUGUAAUUGGAAUGAGUACAAUUUAAAUCCUUUAACGAGGAACAAUUGGAGGGCAAGUCUGGUGCCAGCAGCCGCGGUAAAUUCCAGCUCCAAUAGCGUAUA